CACAAAGCAAGCCCUCAGACGAACUGCUAAGGAGAGACUCUGUCCCUCACAUGCUGUGCUACACUUAGCUUGGAUCUCUAACGAUAUUUUCUUCGUCUUCGGGAUCCUUCUCCGCCUUCAUAACGCUUGGAAAGUAUCUUCCUUUGCUGCGCAACACUUGAGGGCAGCCCCAAGUCAGGAAGAAAAGGAAAUAAAAAGAAGGGGGAACCUGUGAUGAACAACAGAAGCCAUGGAAGAAGCUGUCCCCGUUCAGGAGACGGGUUUUGUGUCCCCUAGUGGACAAGAGCUGUCCUGUGACCCCCCCAACCAUCUGUGACUUCAUCUGCGCCUGCUCUUGCUCCCACUAUCAUCACUGUUUCCCAAGAGCCCUAAGCAAACUCCUGCCAUUGCUGUCCUGUCCCCUGUACCUUAUAAAGUUCUUUACUCACUUUCA